CUAUUCCCAUCCAGCACUACAUUAUGUCUUUCUAAAACUGGAGGGGUAGCCUGUUUUCUCUCUUUCUGUCUAUAUAAUAUAUCACAAUCAGGGAGAAGACAUAGGGUGACAGAACUGUGUGUUCCCAGAAAAGCUGGCGGAAAAAAAAAAAAAGAAAGGAAGAUUACAGAGUUGGUUUGAACAGCAGAAAGGAUAACCUCUGUUGGCUUCACACAAACACUAACCAAUCUGUGAAUCACCAAUUCCUGAUGAGAUAUAAGCUGAAUUUGCAGACAAGCCUUCUAAGACCAGUCCUUCUAAGGGGAGGAAAAAGAGUCUGGCAUUUGGGGCCUUGGCUGUGGAGAGACUGCUCCUCCCAGGGCUAAUUCCUAGAUAUAGAAAAGACCCCUCUGUGAGCAUGCCUGUGAUAUACAAACCAACCAAUCCAGAGCCACAGCCCGACCAUCUCCUCUCUGGAGUUCUCACGCACCAAGUCUUAUCUCAAGAAUCAAGUAAAGUGAAAUGCAGCAUUCCAACUCUCUGUAAGGUUGAAUGAGGGUAUCAGUGUGCUAGAUGGCAGGGAAGCAGGAUUGGAACUCCAGACCCAAGCCCAGGAGCACAGCACAGUCUGGACAACUAAAGGAAAGGUAAAUGUGAUCAUGGCAUGACACAGGGGCAAUGAACUCUAACUAGAAGUCUUCCAUUGCAACUUCUUCAAAAUAAAAGCAAGUCCUCACCUAACAUUGUAGAUUAGCUCUUGGAAACCAAGACUUUAAGCAAAACAACCUACAGCAAGUCCUCAAAUAACACUGUCAUCUUGAUAAGAAAAUUGGUUUUGUUACACAUCCCAUACAUUUUGCUUGAAGCUGCAGUGUCCAAGAACUUAUCAAGGACGUUAAGGACGUACCAUAUCCUUAUGUUACAGCUAGUGCAUGGCCCUUUGCCCUUGUGAUUCCUGCCCCCUGCUUUCCUGCUCUCAGGAAUGUGGAGUUCAAGCAACCACAUCAGAAGAUGAGAAAAUCUGGAAGGAUGGCAGACCAACUAGUCCAAAGUAGCCAACACCUGCGAUACUGUGGAAGCAAUAUACAAGCUCUGAAUCAUUUAACUGAAUUCUUUCAUGGAGGAUAACUUUUAUUUUUUCUAAGCCACUGGUGUGUGGGUGUGGGCAGGCUUGUGUGUGGGUGUAUGUAUAUAUGUGUGCACCUUGCUCACAAGGUUCACUGCCUCCAAUCUUACCUCUCCAUAACCAGAAUAUAUCUCUACAUUGCUUCCCAACUGAUUUCCUAAACCCCAAAUGUGGAGAAUCAAUCCAUUUUCUAAAAAAAAUUAAUAAAAUACACACUUACAGCAUGCUUUCCCAUGGCAUGUAAGAGCAUUCAUAAUCUAGUCCCUGCCCACUGAAGUCUUCUAGUUCACUGCUCCCUCUUGACACCAGCUGCUCUGACGAUGCCAUGGUCUGCACAGCAACACAACUUUAUAUGUGCUUCGGCCACUGUCAAAACAUCUUUCUUCACAGCACCCAUUCUAAAUUAUCUGCAAAAACUCUGCUCAGAUGUCACCUCUUCCAAGAAGCCUUCUCUCCAUUCUGACUGAGGCACAAAUUCAUAGCCUCCCAAGGCCUCUGUUCUUACCUCUACUGUAGCAGGCAUCAAUUGUGUUAGAAUCAUCUUAUUACUUAUCUAUUUCUCCAACCAGACUUCACAGUCAGGAUGUAUGCUUCAUCUCUCUCUCUCUCUCUAGCUCAGCAAAUACAGGUAUUCAUUGAAUGCAUGUUGAAAAAGUAAAUACUUUCAGGAAUGUGCCGAAGGAAGUUUUUGGCAUCUGGUAACUGACAUAUUAAUAAAUGAAAACCUAGCCCUCUUGAUUCUUUGCCCAGGACUGUUUCCAGAACAUCAGCAUUUCCCCACCUGUGUUCUAAUAACAUCUAUUUAGAAAAUGUGAAUAAUGUGUGGGUUUCCAGCCAUGCUACACAGCUUUCAGUUCCGCUAACCUGUCAACCUUACACCACUCUCAAAGCCUCUGACCCCACCCUUUUGGUCUUCUACCUGGAGGGAGGGCACUGGAUCGGCACCCUCCCCCCACUUCCCUGGUUCCCACUGUUCAGCCAUCAUUCCCAAGUGCAAGUUCAGACCCAAGGAAACUACCUGCUCUUGCAGUACUUUUAUAUAUAUGUAUUAUUGCACUUUAGAUUUUGGGGUGCAUGUGCAGAACAUGCAGGAUUGUUGCAUAGGUAUAUACAUAGGUAUAUACAUGGCAAUGUGGUUUGCUGCCUCCAUCCCCCCGUCACCUAUACCUGGCAUUUCUCCCCGUUAUCCCUCCCCAGCUUCCCUACCCACCACUGUCCCUCCCUUAUUCCCCCCCAACAGACCCCAGUGUGUGAUGCUCCCCCCUUGUGUCCAUGUGUUCUCAUGUUCAAGGCCCUCCUAUGAGUGAAAACAUGCGGUGUUUGAUUUUCUGUUCUUGUGUCAGUUUGCUGAGAAUGAUGGUUUCCAGAUUCAUCCAUGUCCCUACAAAGAACACAACCUCAUCUUUUUUUAAUGGCUGCAUAGUAUUCCAUGGUGUAUAUGUGCCACAUUUUCCUUGUCCAGUCUAUCAUUCAUAGGCAUUUGGGUUGGUUCUAGGUCUUUGCUAUUGUAAACAGUGCCACAAUGAACAUAUGUGUGCAUGUGUCUUUGUAAUAGAAUAAUUUAUAAUACUUUGGAUUAUAUUAACCCAGUAAUGGCAUUGCUGGGUCAAAUGGAAUUUCUAUUUCUAGGUCCUUGAGGAAUCACCGCACUGUCUUCCACAAUGGUUGAACUAAAUUUACACUCCCACCAACAGUGUAAAAGCAUUCCUGUUUCUAAUAAUCCUCUCAAACUUGGUUAAAGACUACCCUGAAACUCACCAGUCUCUACAAUUUCCUUAAAUCUCCUUCCUACAGAUAAGGGUUUUGCGUCUUGUAUUUUCGUUAGCGUUAGUUCCUAUCUUCAUGAUUUUCAAAGAAUAUCUAAAGUGGACAUAUAAUGUACCUGCAAAUAUGCUCAGCUUCUUGGAAUAUUAUCCCUCAGACUUUAAACUCAUAGAAAAGAAGCCAGGGGAUCUCUUUCUGGGCUUCAGCUUCUUCUAGCCAUGUUUGUUCUGUCCUUUCAAGUAAGGUCACUGUGCUCCUUGUCAGAGAAACACCAGCCAGGAAGGAGUUUCAUAUCUCGGCUUUAUCUCAGAAAUCUCUUAGCAUUACCUCACACACCCUUAGAAAGGAGCCCAACUUUCCUUGUUCUCUUUGUUUUUCUGACACAGCAGUUAUUGCCCCUGACCUGUGAGAACAGGAUUGCUCAAAGUGCCAUCCAAGAACUACCUGCAUCGGAAUCAUCUGAGGAGCUCAUUCAAUACUAGAUUUCUGAGUUAAACAGAAUCAGAAUUACUGAGACAAGGUCUCAUUAUGUUACCCAGACUGGACUUGUACUCCUGGGCUCAAACAAUCCUCCCACCUCAGCCUCCCAAACAGCUGGUAAUACAGAAACUACAAAGGAAGAGGUUAAACUGAGAGGCUUCCAAUGAUGUCACCAGAGAUGGACUUUAGUAAAAACAAGUAAACAGUACAUGUUUUACUGAGAACCCGUAUGUUCGAUAUCAUGACACUAGCAAGGAAAACAGCAACUGAUCAUCAGUAGCUAAGACUGCCAUUCUCCAUUGGGCCAGGCUCCCACCUGACCCGGGAGGGAUUUAAAAGCCAGAAUCUGGCCCCAGGUAAUCGCAACAGGAGCCAAAGGAGGUAGCACAGCUCAGAGCUGAAGCUUGCUGAAAAGUCCAGAGAGCACCGCUGGCAAGGCUAAAAGCAACACUGCACGUCCACACGCUGGGUUUCAACACUUUUUCACAGAAGCAAAUCCAUAACAGACUCUGAGUGAACUGGGAAAUAUAACUGAAGCAUUCAAAAUACUUUCUGAAAAUCAGUUUGCAUUGACUUAUCUUAAAAUGUCCAGCUCUGAGUAAGCAAGAAAGGUCACAGGAUUUUGUUCAGAUUUGCAAGUAGAAAAGGAAACAUGAGGUUAUACUCAGGAAAUCCUUUUGCUAAGAUGCAAAAAAUCUGAAAAUUAAGAGAUUAUAAAACAUGCACAUUCCAAUUUGCCUCUUCUCUGCUUAACAUCUCUCCAUAACCUGAGACAGCUACGUCUACAGUUGGACUGGACUACAGGCAACAAGCACAGACACAGUAACCUCAAGAUGGGAUUUACAGUGCAGGAAUGGAGGAGCGAGCGACAGGUAUAGAAUGUUCUCACACCUCAACAUUCAGGCUGACACUGCUUCGGAGUACUGCUUUACUGGUACCACUUCUAAGAAAGAGCAAAGCAGACAUACUUCUUUAUCAUCUUCUCUGUGUCUCCAUCUCUCAAUCCUUCUCAAUGACAAUAACUCAUCUCUCUUUCAACCCCUCUCCCUUCCUCUCUCCCACCCUCAACCCUCAUACCCAACCCCUUAUCACUACACUAAGGCCAGCAAGAGGCCACAACCACAGAAGAGCUUCCAGGUGGCAGUGAAGCAGUUCAGUCUCAAAGAAAGCCAGACAGGAGUCCAGAUGCCUACAUUCCUUCUGGAGUUUGCUAUAUGACCUCAGUAUAAUCCCUUCACCACUAUGGGCUUAUUUUCUCAUCUGGAGGAUGAAUAGCUACAAAAAGACUUCUGAGAUCUUUUUCUGCUUUAAAAUUCUGUGAUUUCACAAUAGCUGAAUACAAUUACUAAAUGGGAAACCGCCAGGAUACUGGGGGGUGGUCAGCACAUAGCCAACUUUAUUGUAUUUUUCACUGCAUGCUUCCAAAAUAUCUAUUGCCAAGAAGUAUAUCCAGUUAGACCCUGGGUCCAUGUUUUAAUUUUUAUACACUGUAAUUAAAAACAGAAUGA